AGUGAACGCUGGCGGUAGGCUUAACACAUGCAAGUCGAACGGCAGCACAGUAAGAGCUUGCUCUUACGGGUGGCGAGUGGCGGACGGGAGAGGAAAACAUCGGAAUCUACUUUUUCGUGGGGGAUAACGUAGGGAAACUUACGCUAAUACCGCAUACGACCUACGGGGGAAAGCAGGGGAUCUUCGGGCCUGGCGCGAUUGAAUGAGCCGAUGUCGGUUUAGCUAGUUGGCGGGGUAAAGGCCCACGAAGGGGACGAUCCGUGGCUGGAGUGAGAGGAUGGUCAGCCACACUGGAGGGUGGACACGGACCAGGCUCCUGCGAGAGGCCGCAGUGGGGUAUGUUGGACAGCGGGGGCGAGCCUUACACAGCCAUCCCGCGUGGGUGGCAAAGACGUUCGGGUUGUAAUGCCCUUUUGUGGGGAGAGAAAAGCAGCAGGUUGAUACCCCGCUGUUCUGACGGUACCGAAAAAAUAAGCACCGGCAAACUUCGUG
rnacentral:rRNA from 1 species